rnacentral:misc_RNA from 1 species
GUUGAACGUAUCAAUCGUCGGUCGUCCGAAUCAUGCCGACGCAUUGGAUCGUCGAGGCGCGGGUGAACGAUACCCUACACGGGGGUUCGAGCGGCGGACGGUCCUUUCGGGGGCCGCGCCGUCGUCUCGAGCUGCUCGCGUCUCGUCGUCCGAAGAACAGAAGGGACCGCGCGACCACGCCGGCCGCACGUCCGAAGUCCGCAGGCGGACGGGGACGGCGACUCGGAUACUGGAGACCCGAUCGGCCGUCGCCCGCCGUGGCGGAACGGUCGGCGUGGAAGCGAAGGACCCACAGUACACGAAGCUCGAAUCGGCGGGCCGUCCGGCAACGGGCGGUCCCCGACUUGCAGACUU